rnacentral:lncRNA from 1 species
UGCCAAAAGAUGGUGUUUUCCGGGAACGCAUUAACCGGUAAAAAAUAAGCAUAACUCUGUUGGGUCGUUUUUUUUUGUUGUCGGUUUGGAAAGUAGACA